ACGAACGCUGGCAGCGUGGAUUAGGCAUGCAAGUCGAACGAGAAACCGUUGAUCAAUCUUUCGAGAAAGUGAUUCGGUGGAAAGUGGCGGAAGGGUGAGUAACGCGUGGGUAAGCUAUCUUGAAGUUUGGGACAACCCGCCGAAAGGCGGGCUAAUACCGAAUGUGGUCGCUGGAUGCAUAUCCGGAUGAUUAAAGGUGGGGCUCCUUUUGGACCUGCCGCUUUUAGAGGUGCCCGCGUGCCAUCAGCUUGUUGGCAGGGUAACGGCCUACCAAGGCUUACGGCUAGCCGGCCUGAGAGGGUGACCGGCCACACUGGGACUGAGACACUGCCCAGACUCCUACGGGAGGCUGCAGUCGAGGAUCAUUCGCAAUGCGCGAAAGCGUGACGAUGCGACGCUGCGUGGAGGAUGAAUGCCUUAGGGUUGUAAACUCCUGUCAUGAGGGAACAGCCAUCUUACCCCGAAUACGGGUAGGAUCCGACGGUACCGGAAGAGGAAGCCACGGCUAACUCUGUGCCAGCAGCCGCGGUAAUACAGAGGUGGCAAGCGUUGUUCGGAUUUACUGGGCGUAAAGGGUGCGUAGGUGGCACCGCAUGUCGGAUGUGAAAUCCCACGGCUCAACCGUGGAACUGCAUUCGAAACUGCGGAGCUAGAGUACAGGAGGGGAGAGCGGAAUUCUUGGUGUAGCGGUGAAAUGCGUUGAUAUCAAGAAGAACACCGGUGGCGCAGGGCGGCUCUCUGGAAUACUACUGACACUGAUGCACGAAAGCUGGGGGAGCGAACAGGAUUAGAUACCCUGGUAGUCCCAGCCGUAAACGGUGCACACUUGGUGUGGGGGGAUUUGACCCCCUCCGUGCCGGAGCUAACGCGUUAAGUGUGCCGCCUGGGGAGUACGGUCGCAAGGCUAAAACUCAAAGAAAUUGACGGGGGCCCGCACAAGCGGAGGAGCAUGUGGCUUAAUUCGAUGCAACGCGAAGAACCUUACCAGGGCUUGACAUAUACCUGCACGCUCUCCGAAAGGGGAGAAGCCUUCGAGGGUGGUAUACAGGUGCUGCAUGGCUGUCGUCAGUUCGUGCUGUGAGGUGUUGGGUUAAGUCCCGCAACGAAAGCAACCCCUGUGGUUAGUUGCCACCGCCGGUGAUGAGCCGGCGAGCACUCUAGCCAGACUGCCCGUACAAGCGGGAGGAAGGUGGGGAUGACGUCAAGUCAGUAUGGCCCUUACGCCCUGGGCUGCACACGUGCUACAAUGGUCGGUACAAUAGGACGCAAUACCGCGAGGUGGAGCCAAUCCUCAAAGCCGGCCUCAGUUCGGAUUGGAGUCUGCAACUCGACUCCAUGAAGUUGGAUUCGCUAGUAAUGGCUCAUCAGCUACGGAGCCGUGAAUACGUUCCCGGGCCUUGUACACACCGCCCGUCACAUCAUGAAAGCCGUCUGCACCCGAAGUCGCUGAUCCAACCCCUCGGGGAGGAAGGUGCCGAAGGUGUGGGUGGUGAUUGGGAUGA
rnacentral:rRNA from 1 species